AAAUUUUGUAUGACUGUAAAGUGAGCAAUGAGGGCAAAGCAAAUAUCGACGUAUAAGGCAAUGCCAAAAGAAGAUGACGGUGUGGCUGGCUGGGUUACCAGAAAAAGCUCAUUGACAUUUGAGACUGGAUUCCAAAUUGGACCACUAUUAUGAUAGAUGGUCCACAUUCUGCAAGUUUUUAGUCUGCUAGGUAAGUGAAAAAUGUUAUUUGUGUUCUUUCUUCCCCUCCCGUAUAGAAUUUCAAAAUUUCUUUUAAAUUACAAUUAUACGAAUUGUUAUAAUAAUGAAAUUAUACAAAGCGUCAACGUUGACUGCAGUAGGGGUGAAUAUUUGAUCGAGUUGAGUCAAAUCGAGUAAAAAACUUUAAGUGAGUCGAGUUGACGAAUCCUAUUUUAGCAACCGAACUCAAUUAAAAUAUUUUUUUGAAUCGAAUCAGAUUGAGUCAAAAAAUUUCGAGUCAAGUAGAGUCGAGUUAACGAAUCUUAUUAUUUAUACUCAAUGUUACAUUUACAUGGACCAAUUAUUUAACUAGUAGACAAAGUACAAGAUUAUUUAACUACAUAGACAAUAUAAUUGUUUUGCCUUUUAACUUAAUGAGUAAACAUUUAUCAAAAUGACGUAGUUUUUCCUUUUAACUUAAUGGUUUUGACUUUUAACUUUAGAAAAGGUAAACAUUUAUCAAAACGACAUGGUUUUCCCUUUUCUUAUUCUGAUUUUCGGAUAACUCGAAUUAUUUAAUUCAUAUUCGAGUUAAAUCGAAAAACUUAAUUUUUUAUUCUAGUUGAUCUGAAUAACUUGAUUAACUCAUAUAACUCGAGCUAUUUAAUUAAAAAUUUUAUUUUUUUAUCAAGUUUUUCAAAUCAAAUCGGGUUUUGCUUAUCCCUAGACUACAAUGGUGGUUCAUAUUGCAUGUGAUAUGGAGAGAUACUAAGAAUGGAAAUUUGGGUUGAUGUUUUUGCAGGAUGACGGCUAAUGGUUGAAUUUGAUUUGAUAGUUGAUCGCUGCCAGACAUGCAAAUGUCUUGGCUGAAAUACUGCAACAAAAAGGUAAUAAAUAAAACAACGGUGCCUGCAAUUAUACGGGUUAAAUUGUAAUAUAGUAAGGUUACAACGAAAAACUUCAAAAAGUAUUCUAAGGAUCGUACCUAAAGGAGAUUGAAUCAAACCAAAAACUACUUUUUGGACUAACAAUGCUAAACAGUAAUAAUUGAAAUUAUAGUACGAAUAACCAAAUAAAAAAUUAAAUAAAAAAAUAACAAAAAAUAAUUAAAUAAGGUUAAUAGUCGAAAUUUAUUCAAUGGACAAACAGAAGGUUAACUCAUAUCAAUGUUCAAAAUUAACUUCAGAAUUUGGGUUUUAAUGAAUUAGCUAAUAAUUAACUAGUUAUUACCUCUUAGCCUAUAACUAAUUAGCUAAUUGACAAAAACCACUUAUCUCUCAACCUCGCAAUUUAAACUAGGUUGAAUUAAGAGUUGCUCGGUAAAGUAUUCUUUCGACCUUAUUUACCUAAAUUACUUCCUAGAGUUGUUAACCUUAAGGUUUAAGCAUGCAAAAUUCACUCCAACUAAUUCUAAGGCAAACCCUAAUUCUUCCAUUAAUUAAUCUCACAUCCAGUCGUUAAUCUCCCUAGGGGUUUAGCUACUCAUGGAUCUAAAUGUAAAAUUUCCUAACUUUAAUUUAAACAUGUAAAGCAAAUAUUAAACUAAAGAAAAGAGAAAAGAGAAAUUGAUUUGUUUCGAUGUUGAAUGUGCUCAGAAGUCGAAAACCCUUUAACAGUCGUCGAGAUAAUAACAAUUGCAAAUGGAAACCAAAGAAAAAUUAUGAAAUACUAAAAUGAAAUCUUGGAAUUAAUUUGAAUCUUCUAAAAAACAAGAACAAUAAUUCGUAGAGAAACUAAAACUAAAUUGAACUAAAAUUAAAAAUCUAAAAAUGGCCUCCUUAGCUAAGCCUGAACAUAACUAUAUAUAGCAAGUUGUUUCUACCUUAAUUAAGUCAAAUACAGGCCAUUAAACUGAAUAAAGUACAUUGUGCAAACAAAAACAUCCUCAACAAUAUUUUGGUCUCUGUCACAGUGGUGUUGCGAUACCAUAGGACCGGUGUCGUGACACAAAACUUUGAAUAGAUCUUUUCUUGCCUCGAAAUGUGGUGUCACGACAUUGACAUCGUCCUUGGUGUUCCUUGACCUGAAAAUGAUGUCCUACACAUUAAAUUCACUCUUCAGCCCUACCCUAGGCCCAUAUUGGCCCAACGGUUCGUUACAAUACAAAAAUAUGCAUCUAAACUACUAAAUUAGAAAACUAAUUAAAAUACUAAUAGAAUGGUUCGAAAACAAGCUCAUUAAGUGUCGAAAAGACUCUAAUUUGCCACAAUGAAUUGUGGCAGAUCAAACUCCCUCACAAUUAACUCGUUGCUUGUCCUCAAACAAAUAAAAAUACAAAGAAAAGGAAAACAAGACACUUAAAAUAAAUUGUAACACCCUUCACCCAUAUCCGUUGCCGGAAUGGGUUACGAAGCAUUACCGGAGUUUACAAAUCAAAACAUUCAAAAAUUUAAAACAGUCAAUUCACAACAUCAUGUAUAGCAAAUUCAAUCAAUGUAAUACAUAUUGUCCCAUAUACGAGCCCUCGAGUCCCUCAAAACACAUUAGAAACGAGUCAGGACUAAAUUGGAAGCAUAUAAAAAUUUUUGGAAAAAAAUGCAAAAUUUUAAAUUACAUGGGUCACACGGCCGUAUGGUCAGGUCGUAUGACUCACAUGGCUGAGACACACGCCUGUGUUUUAGGCCGUGUGGGCAUUCGAAGUAGGGACACACGAUUGCCCCAGCCUAUGUUCGUGCCCGUGUAACUCUCUGACUUGGGUCACACAGCCAAACUACACGCCUGUGUGCCAGGCUGUGUACCCUUCGAAAUGGCCUUACACGCCUAUGUGCCAGGUCGUGUGCUAGGCCGUGUAAUUGCCUGACUUGCAACCCUUUGUAAGCUACAGGGGACACACGGCUGAGACACACGCCCGUGUCCUUGGCCAUGUGGACGAAAAAUAGGCCAUUUCUAAACCAUUUUUCUCACCCAAAGUCUAGCCACCUAACAUAUGCAUAUUCAAGCUUUUACAUCAUAAUAAUUAACCAUACAACUAAUAUGCCAAAAUGGCACCUCAAUUUCAACAAACAAACUUGAUUAAGCACUUGCUAAAUUUAUCCAUAAAUCAAUCAACCCAUUGAACAACUUAAAUGCUACAUUUACCAUAAUGUUCACAUACCAUUCUCAUACUCAACAAAUGCCAUUAUGACCAUUUCCACAUUUAUAAUCUACCUUAACAAAUUGACCAAUUGCCAAAUACAUUCAAGGCUACCAAAACUAGACAUUUAACAACUCAAUGCACUAUCUAAUUCCAUACCAAACCAACAUCUCAUGACUUACCUUAAUAUUCAUCAAUUCAUCUAUCAUCAUUUAGGUACUAAGAUGCCAAAAUAACAACCGUUAAAAAUUUCCACACAAACAUGAUAGCAUGACAACUAUUUCAUCACCCAAAAAUACCAUAUAUAUAAGCCAAACAUAAUGGCUAAUUUUAUCAAACAAAAAUUCCUAUACAUGUCAUUAUAACCAUGACUCAAAAUCAUCAAAACCUACCGAUAUAGUUGAUGAAUAAUGUGAUGGAUCUCCGACUAGCUUCCAACUUGAUCGAACUUCUAAUAAUUUGUAAGGUAAAGGAAAAUAACUACGUAAGCAAUUUAUGCUUAGUAAGCUCGUAAAAACUUUAAGCAUAAAGUUCCAUUUCGAUAAUGAACUUUAUAGAAUAAACAUAAAUCUAUGUCAAUGCUAUAAGAUUCAUAAAUCGAUAUGAUCAUCAAUUCAAAAAUGAGUAAGUUUAUUAAUGUCGCAUAUUUAUUGACCAUUCAUAACAUGAUAGGAUUUCAUAAUAUAUAAUAUAUAAUCAUCAACCUUUUACAAGAUUAUAUAUCUUUCUAUUUACUUACUUUCCAUUUUGUCCCCAAUGCUUAUCAUAAGCCUAAACAACAUUAUUAACUCUCAAUUCAGUGUAUUUGUCCAUGACAUAGGUGUAUUCAUUCAUAGCAUAAGUAAUUUGCUCACAUAAUACAUCCUAAUUACGUACUCACCGUUUCAUUCUCUUUUCUUACCCUUUUCGUAUGCAUAAUACAAGUAUAAUCAUAAACAUCAAUCAUAUCCACAAGCUUGGCAUAAGCCCUAACAUAUCAACAACACACGUUAGUUCAUUUAAACAUGGUUCAUAUGAAUUUGACAUGGAUAACCAUUAUACUUGAGUAUGAUUCAAUUGGAUUUAUCAUCCAUCACAAUAUAUCAUGUUUUUCCAUGUAUCACCAUUCCAUUUAGUUUCAUAUAAACAUGCCUUAGUUAUUAUUGAACACUUACCAUUUCAUUUGCAUACACAUAAGACAUAAACAUAACAUUAACCAUAGCCACAAGCUAGUGAUUAAACACAUAACUUAGCAAUAUCAUCACAUGGAAAGAUAUGGUAUAUAACAUAACAUCACUUACAUCAUACCUUUCAUAAACAUGAAUAUUCAUACUUUGAUCAUUGGUACAUCUUACCUUUCCAUAUUUGUCGUAGUGAAGUUAAUCGGAACCCUUACCGGAGCUCACACAAAGUGUGCUAAAACGAUGGUUGUAACCAUCCUUUUUCAUAUUCGAUGGUCAAAACCAUCCCUUUUCAUUAAUCGACGGUCAUCACCAUCCCUUUUCAUAGUUGAUGGUCGUCACCAUCCCUUUUCAUAAUUAAUAGCUGAAGCUAUCCCUUUUCAUAUUCGAUGGUUGUCACCAUCCCUUUUCAUAGUUGAUGGUCAUCACCUUCCCAUUUCAUAAUUAAUAGUCGAAGCUAUCCCUUUUCAUAUUCGAUGGUCGUCACCAUCCCUUUUCAUUGGUCGAUGAUCGUCGAUACGUCGCUGGAUUUAUGUUGUCUCACAACAUGAUAACUUGUAUAAUAACAUAUAUAUAUUGAUUCAUUUUCAUUAAAAUCAUAUAUUAACAUUCAUAUUAAUCAACAUUAUACAUAAUAUAGUUCAUACAAACUUACCUGGCUAAAUUGCAGAAAUGUAAAAGUAUAAGGGCAUCUUGGUAAUUUCCAUUCUCCUCGAUUUUUCACCCGAUCUUAAUCUAAAUUAAUAAUUUUAUUCAAUAUAUUAAUUUAGAUAGUAAAAAAAUGUAUUUUAUGCAAUUUAGUUUUUUUUACAUUUUUACAAAAUUACCCUUAAAGUUUUACUUUUAUUCAAUUUAGUCUUUAAGCCUAAAACAUGCAACUUAACCAUUUUGUACCCCAAAUUGAGCCUAUAUGAAUACUUAUGGAAUCUAAAACAGCCCAUAUCUACAAAAAUUUCAAAUCAAAUCCUUGUACUUUUACUAUUUUAACAAUUUAGUCCUUAAUCAAAAAAUUCAUCAAAAAUCACUUAAUAAAAUACUUUUAACUAACAAAUAAUAUUUCAAAUUCAUCAUUUAAAAUCUAAAAUCACAAGGUUCAUCAAUAACAACAUUCAAAAUCUUUAACAGUUUCAAAAUUGAAGGUACAAACUAGCUGGACCUAAUUGCAACUAUCUUAAAAACAUAAAAAUUAUUAAAAAUGGGUAAGAAUUUCUUAUCAUGCAUGAUAAGUUCACCAUGGCUGAACCUAACUUCAUUUCCAUUGACAUUCAGUUGUACUUGGAUAAGAAAACAAAAAAUAUGAUGAUAAUUUACCGUCCACUAAAACCUUAAAUGGUUUAAUUUCCAUUUAAUCCCUUUUUCUUUAUUCAAUUAACCAUUUAAUCGCUCAAAUAAAAUAACGAUCAAAUUUUAUAUCUUUUACGAUUUAGUCCUUUUUAAUUAAUUAACUAUUGAAACGUUAAAAUUUUUCAACGAAACUUUAAUACCACCUUAAUGACACAAUAUUUAUAAAAAUAUUUAUGACUUAGUUUAUUGAAAUGAGGUCCUGAUACCUCAUUUUUAAAACCACUUAACGUUAGGGUCAUACCAUUUGAACUUAAUUAAUCACUUAUAUCAUAUAAAUUACCAUAACAAAAACCUUUUAAAAACCAUUUUCGACUUGUAAAUAUUAACUAAUAAUAUUUACAAACUUACUCGUCAGAUUUGUGGCCUCAAAAUCACUGUUUUUGGCACCACUAAAAAAUAGGCUGUUGCAGAAAUUGUACUUGAGCAUGCUUCAUACACGAAAUUAGUUUGAGACACCUAAGAUAGGAAAUUUUGGCUAAACAUGCAAUUCUAAUUAGAUAUACAAACGAUUUGUGAUUUUUAAUUUCAAACAUGUUAGUUCAGUGAGUUACAAGGAAAACAAGUCAAUGUUAGUUAAACAUAUGCUCCCAUCUAAACACAUACACGAGUACCACAUCUAUGUUUGAAGAAUAUAGGUAAUUAGAACUCCACCAACUUAGUUUCUUUCAUCCAUGUUUUGAACUCUCGUAUAAUAUUGAUGUAUAAGCAACUUCAACGAGUAUUUGUGCAAUUAUGAGUAAAAAUUUCUUAACUACUCGUACUUUUUAUUUUCUUUGUUUUCAUUUUGUUCACUCUUGACUCACAUUACUUUUAACCAUUUUAUGAUUUUAUUUCACUCACUUUGCUUUUAGCCCUCACAAUGCUUUUGUUCACUCAUUAGUUUUCAUUUAGACACAUAUUUGUAAGGAUUAUAUACUUAUUAUACUAUAUUAUUUCAAUAUCCAUUGAUUUCAAUAAUCGAGUGAUAAAAUUCCAACAACCUAUGAUCCAAAUAAACAUAUAUGAUUACUCGUGUAUACUUUUAUGAUUUGGUACGCUUAACUCUUUUUUCAUCUUUACAGUUUAACAAAUUGAAAUAACUAGUCUAAAAUUAAAUAACUUCAAAUGAUUUAUUAUUAGGCUAGAUUUACAAUUUAUACAAACAACCUAUUCACAUGCUCUUAACCAAUCACUUGCAUUUCUACAAGCUUAAGCAUAAGUUAACACAUGACAAAAAUUUAACUAAAAAUUAUCAAAAAUAAAAAAAAAAUCAUAACAAAAAAAAUUAAAAAUUUCUAUGUUACCCCUUUCACACUUUAUUUGGUACAUUGUCCCUAAUGUGCACCCAAAAGAUAAGAGAAGAGAUUACCUAGUUUUCCGUAAGAGUGUCGCGAGGUUAGUCGGGUGUCAUCUAGCUAUGUUAGCUCAAUCACGUAGUGUCACAUUUAUGUGAGGCUUCUACACAGAAAGAAAUAUUUUUUAUAAUAGUAAUAAUAAUAAAAGAUUAAAGAAAAGAAAUGUAACACCUCAAAUUUUGGAGUUAGAAGUUUUGAGUUUUGUAGUUAGGGUUAGAGAAAGGGGAUUUAGAAGUUUUGGAUUUUGUAGUUAGGGUUAGAGAAAGAGGUGUGCUAUUAUGUUUAGUUGCGCAUUUAAGUGUUAGAAUGAGCCUAUUGGUCUGGUGGUUGAGUGAGUAUUAAUGUUCCUCAAGGUUCUGGGUUCGAGUCUUUGUGGGUGUGUUUUGGAGAAUCAUUUUUGUUUUGUUUUGUUUAGUUAAGUAGCAGUUUUGUUUUAAGUUAGAAUAUAUACUAUUUAUUAUCAUUUUUAUUUUUGGGAUUAUUUUUCUUUUCUCUGAACAUUCUCCUAUUCCCCUUUUUUAUUUAUUUUCUUUUUGGUUCUCCUUUAUUUUUCUUUAAAGAUGGCUUUGCUUGUGGGUUUAGGAGAGUCGCUUUCUUGUCGUCGAGCCAAUUUCUGAAUGUUAUCACGAAUUAGGUGUGGGAUUCGAACCUAUUUUAAUAUAAUUGCGAAUUAUUAAGUUACUGUGGAAUUUGACAAUCUUUUUAUGUGCUUCGGUAAAUGAGUAAUUGAGGCUCGUGUCAUCUAUAAUCUCUUGAAAUUUAGUGUGUAUGGUCGAUUUUUGAAAUACCAUGAUUGGAGUUUGAUUUAAUGACCAUAAGACUCGAUUUUCAGGCUAUUUGCGGGUGUUUUUGUAACCACACGGGUGGCCACAUGGGCAUGUGCCGAUUCACACGACUGUGUGUAAUUAGGAAUUAUGGUUUUCAGGUAAGGUAUGGUGCUACACAGUCAUGUGGCCAAUUUGGGGAUUUUUUUCUAAUUUUCACAUGGCCGUGUUGUAAUAGCCCGUUUUUAGUCAAAUCAGAAUAGUGGUUUUGGAACCAUAAAUACGAGGUUGAAAAAAUUAUUUUAAUAUUAUUUUAAGUGUUUACAGCAUGAUAGUAUGUAUGUGUGAAAGUUUCAUGAAGAAAUUUUAUUAUUUAAAUAUUUAAUUUGAUAAAAGGACUAAAUUGCAUAAAAUGCAAAAUUGGUGUUCUAUUAGCUAAAGGUAUUAAAUGAAUAUGAAAUUAAAUAGUGGAGGCCCUUAUGCCAUUUCAAUUGUGAGUGGGCAAUUAUGGACAUGCAUUAAGUGAUUUUAAUGUUUUAUAACCAAGGUUAAUUAAGUAAAUGUGUAAUUUAGCAUAAAAUAAAUAAAACAAAAGCACAAUUUGGUGUCCAUCUUCUUCAUUUCCAAAAAUUAAAGAAGGAAAACACCAUUUUUGUGCUUUUGAAAGUUCAGGCAUGGUAUCUUAAGCAUGUAAGUGAUUUUUGACUCAGUUUUUAAUGAUUUUUAUGUUUUUGAGAUUGUUGCAACUAGGUCUAGCUAGCCCAGGGACUAUUUUGCAAAACUGUUAAAGAUUUUGAAUGAUUCCAUUGUUGAAUACAUGUGUAUUUUGAAGUUUCUUGAUAGAUUAAGAAUGGUUGUUGAUAGUUAAGCAAGUUUUGUAAAGUGAUUUUUAGUGAAAAUGUAAUAGGGAUUAAAUUGAGAAAUGUGUAAAGUUAGUGGUUAAAGGUGUGAGUAAAUGAAAAUUAUGGCUGAUAGGGGCAUUAUGGUAAUUCAACUACAUGGGUUAGUCUUGAAUUUCAUUAAUUUGUGAUUUUGUGAAAUAAGGACUAAAUUGUAAAAAAUAUGAAAUUUAUGGGGAAAAAGUGUAAAUGUGUUUUAAAGUGUAUUUUGGACUAAAUUGAAUGAAUAAAUGAUUGAAUAAGUUAAAUUUGAAUAUAAUUAGAUCAAGAAAAGUGGAAUACGGACUUAGAUCGGAGAAAAGAUAAAGUUAUCGACUAAUCGACUCGAUUCGCUAUUUUAGCAUCCAAGGUAAGUUCGUAUGUAUUAAGCAUUGUAAUAAUUAUGCUUUUAGUGCUUUGAUAUUGCAUAAAUUGUAUAUACGAGACUACAGUUAUGUUCGACAACAAAUCGACUAUUUGUGGCACUUAGUGUGCGAUUCGACAUAGUUUCGGCUAUAUAUGACACUUAGUGUGCGAUUUGAGAUAGCGUGGCUAUGUACGGCACUUAGUUUGCGAGAUAUCAAGUGUGGCACUUAGUGUGCGAAAUAUUGAGUAUGGCACUAAGUGUGCGAGGCAUUGAGUAUUCAACGACAUUCUGUGUAUGUAUGAACUUUUUAUGGAUUGGUACAUGUAUGUACAUGUAUAUUAUGAGCUUAAAAUCGAAGAAGUUGUAAAGCUUGUAUAUAAGUUUAUGAUUAAGUAGGUGAAAGGUUUGUUAGUAAUCAUAAAGUACAUGAUAAUAUGUUUAGAUUGAUGAAUAUUGUAUUUGUGAUUAGUUAAGUUUAUAUCAUACGAGCUUACUAAGCUUAUUAGCUUACUUUGUGUAUUUUCCAGUGUUUUAUAAUGAUAUCAAAGCUAGCUCAGAUUUGGGGAUCAUUAGAGACUUCAUCGCACUAUCGAACAUCUAUUUUGGUACUUUUGAAGUUAUGUAUAUAUGGUAUAUGGCAUGUAUAGGCUUGAGUAUGUUUGAUGAACAUGUGUUUUUAGGCCAUUUGAGUUGGCUUGUGAUAAUGAAUUUCUUAAUUUAUUAAGUUGUGUAAAUGGCUUUGUUUUGAGUUAGGUAAUUGACCUAUAUUGAGUGAAUGAAGUUGAAUUGAUAAUGCAUGUUGGAAUGGUUUAACCAUAUGAAUUACAUAUGUGAAUUAUGUCUAGUAAAACAAGUUGAGUUGAUAGGUACUUGAAUAGGUAAAUGACAUUGAAUUGAGUAUAGAAAUGGUUGAAAUGGAUAUAGUACGAUUGUGUAUUGGUUGAUGACUUUUGGCUGCAUAUUUGUGUCUUGAAAUGGUACCAAUUGGGCUUGUAUAAGUAUGUGCAAAAUGGAUGACAAAAUGGCUUGGUAAAAUGACCUAUUUUUGUCCAUGAGAGUAGAGACACGGGUGUGUGUCUUAGCCGUGUGUGACACACGGUCAUGUUGCACAGCUUUGUGACCCCUGGUGUUGAAAUUAGAAUGAAGUCAGUAUGCUCCACACGGUCUCACACACGGGCGUGUGACCGGUCGUGUGGUACAAGUCAGUAUACCCCUUAAUUGGCACACGGCCUAGCACACAGGCGUGUGUGGCCACUUCAAAGGGCACACGGGCGUGUGGUUGGAGUGUGACCCAAGUUACUAUGUAUGCGUUGUUUUCACACGGCCAGAGACACAGGCGUGUCUGGAGCCGUGUGAGGCAUACGGCCUGUUCACAUGGGCGUGUGACCCCUUUAUAGUUGAAAUUUUUCUAAGUUUCCAAAAAUUUUCGUAUGUUAUCCGUUUAGUCCCAAACUACUUUUAAAGCAUGUUUAAGGUCUCGUAGGCUCGUUUGAGGGACACUAUGAUUGGUUGUGAUUAAAUCGUAUUUGAAUUGAUAAAUUAUAUGUAAAAUGUGCAUUUAAAAGUGUUGUAAGUCUGGUAAUGCUUCAUAACCCUAUUCUGACAAUGAAUAUUGGUGAGAGGUGUUACACGUGUCCCUUGGGUACACGAGCGUGUGUGGUUGGGAAUUAGGGAUUUAGUGUUUUGGUGCCACACGGCCUGGCCACACGGAUGUGUGGCUAAUUUGGGGAUUUAGGGAUCCCACACGGGUGUGUGUUUUAGACACACGACCAUGUCUGGUGGGCACAUGGGCGUGUGAUACCCUCACACGGUCGUGUCAGACUUGUACUCUAUUUUAGCACAUUUGAACAGUCAGUUACAUGGUCUAUUCACACGGCCGCAUCCCUGGCUCACACGAGCUUAUACCUUAGUCACACGGUCGUGUGUCUCCCUCCACACAGGUUUUUUGACCCCCACACGGCUUAGGCAUUUCCACACGGCUAGAGCAUAAGGCCGUGUGGUCGUAAGUCACAAAUUUUAGUUUGUGUAUGUUUUUUAUCUGAAAAUUCAUCUGUGUAUUCCGACCCUUGGCUAGGCUUUAGUGAGGGUAAUUAAGUCUCUAUAUCUGCGGCUUUGUGUUAUGUUUAUGUGUAAUUUGUGACUGUUGUGUGUGAGAUGUUUAAUUUCUGAACUCCGUUAGCUAUGUGUAUGUGUGUGUGUGUAUGCGUAUUUGUUUCUGUUUAACUAUUUGUUGAUGUGUUCAUUGUUUCUGUAAGAUUGUAUACAUACAUACAUUUGCAAAAGUAAAUUUUGGGUUAGAUGCGAAGAGAAGGAAGAAUGAAUCUGAUCUGAACUGAUCUAGUAGUUUUACUACAACCUAUUCAUACAACGAUUUACCGCACUGUACUGUAUGUACAUCAACUUUGCUGCGUACUAUUAUUUGAUUUGGCAGUUUAAACCGUAACAGGUCUGUACAACGGAUUAUCGCAUUGCACUAUUCUGCAUAUAUGCUAGCCUUGCUGCAUAUUACUAUCUGAGUGGCUUAGUCCACAUUCAUGAUGUGUAGGGUUGGAUGGGCCUUUUGAGGUCUUAAUUGGUGUGUUUGGUUGGAUGAGCUCUAACAACUCUUUUGGGGUAUGAUCGGGGGAUGGGAGGUGUGUUGGCUGGAUGGGUGGGUUUUAGUACUUGAUUGCAUUCAUAUGCAUCUGUUUGGGUGUUUGAUUAUUUGACCAUAUUCUAUUUGACUAAUCAACAGAUGUAUUGAGUAUUUUAUGUGUGUUUGGUGUGCUCUAACUAUUACAUGUGUUGGGACAUUAGUUUCGUGUUAGAUUUCUAUUUUUACCUAUAUCUGUAAAUAUGUUUUUCUACUGAAUUGCUAUAUGGAGUUUUCUUCUUUAAAUAUGUUGUUUAUCAUUUUGAACUCACACUGAGCUCGGAUAGCUUACCCCCUUAGUGUUUCCCUUUUCAAUUACCUUUUUGAAUUUUGAUGCUAGACUCGAUAGGUGGAGGUCUCAGACAAUCACAGUUAAAAAUAACAUAACAAUUUGUCUUUUCAGUUUUCGUUUCGAUAUAUUAUUUGAAAUUGUAAGGUUUUAGUGAAACUGUGGUACAAGUUCUAUUUUUGAUUUUUCUCGUAAAUCUAAUUUUAUUCGUAAAUUAAACUUAACUACAACGUUUCUGUUUGAAAUCUAAAAGAUUAAAUAUUCUUGUUUUGUAAAAUAUUCCCACGAUCACUUUCGUGAUCAAUGUAACCUCCGGGGAUUCAGUCUAAACUUCUAGGCUGGGUUUUGGAGCGUUAGAAGAAAACUGAAAUCAUCCAAUUUUUCAAUACAAACCCAAUAAAUUAAAUUAAAAUCAUAUUCUCAGUCGGAAUUAGUUUCCAACUCAUUUGUAUCCUUUUUUUGGUGUUUUCCUCAUCCUCAUUUUCCUUGGGAUCCUCUUCCUUAUCUUUAUCAUUUCCUUGUACAAACCCAUAUUUAAUGGGUGGGAAUUGUGGCAUCUGCAGGUUGUCUUUGUGCAUAAUCUUUAAAAAUCGGCCUUGCCUCUUGCAGCUAUUGAAUUAUCCAUUGUAAGCAUAGAAUGUUACUUCUAUCUUGAUAUUGUCUAGUCUCUACUUCUCAUCUUCGUUUUAAAGAUUGUGGGGCUUUCCAAUUGUUGUUCUUGUUGUAGGUUCCAUUCUAUAACUUGUUUAUGAUGUGACUCUAAGAGCUAUUUAUAUGUGGAGUAUCUGAUGGGAUUCUUCAUUGGCCUAAAAAUAAUCUUGACUACCCCUAGGAACCUUUGCCUUUUUACAUAGGGCUGUUACAAGAUGCAAAAAGGGCAUCCCAACUUUUUUUUUAUGAACACAACAAAUCAUGCUUCUGUAUAUCCAAGUCCCAAUACAGAUCUUUUCCUUUUGUAAAAUAGCAUAAAGAAGAUUACCUAGGAAAGUAGUGAUGUUAGCGACAUGCAUAGUAGGAUAUAUCUAAGAACAGAUAAAUUGCAACCACAUUUUAGCCUUAGGGGACAUGUUAGUUUGGUGAAAUGAUAUUAGAGAAUUAGUUCCCAAUUCACAUUUCCAAACACCUCGCCCCUCAGUUAAAUAGUUUAUUAUGUUUUCCAUAUCUAUAUUUCGAUAAAAAAUCAAAUUGGUUUGUUGCAGAAAAUUGUACAUAUAGAACAGAGCAUCAUAAAAUCUACAAAUUUUUUGGGGUGAAGCAGAGAUGUCCUUACCCCUAAUAGUUACUUGUGACCAUGGUUCGCCCAAUGGUCUUUUUGCUUCGAACUAUUUUAACGAAGCAUAAAAUUCUUGUACAACCAAACUGCAUACCAAUUCUGUUAGAGUUUGACAGAAAUUUUCCCACUUAUGGUAUUGCACUAAAUCCCAUAUAUCGCUACAGAGACCUAUCGGGAAUUCGAAUCCCCUUUCUUAGAGAAACAUUUUCUUCUUGAUUUUAAAUAAGUAAGUUUCCACUUCUUUCUCUUUAGUGCUCAUAAAAUUAUCAACUGUUGAUGGCUCAUUGUCCGUAAUUCCUCUAAAUUGCCUAGAAGCAAAGUAAACUACCCCAAAUUUUCAAUAAUCAAUGACCAAACAAGAAAAACUAUUAAAACAUUAAAAUAUAAUUAGCCAAGGGUUGAGUCACUUAACCUUUUUUGUCAUUCGGCUUGAGUUUGCUGAGCAUGUUGGAUGGUUGUAACGACAAGAUCUCGUCCUACAUGAAAAAAGAGAGAGAAGGAAUGGAGAAUGUUUUGUUUUAACCCAAGGAAAAGAGAUGUGGGGGAUGUUUAGUGGUUAAAGUUUAAGUUUGGGGGUUUAAGAUGCUAUUAUGUGUGUUAUUUUAAAGGUUUUAGGGUUAAUUUGGAUGGGUUUUAAACAAUAUUUCGGAGGGUUGCGUGAGUAUCUGAAAAAAUAUAUCGAUUGAUUUUGUGUCGCGAAGCUAGGUGUGGAUGUCGUGACACAAAUCUUCGAAGUUUUUAAUUUUCUCUUUUGAAAUACUGUGUUGCAACAUCGGGGUUCAGUUUCACGACAUUAGCUCUCUUUUUUUCGAAAUCCAUCAUUUCAAAGUGCAUUGUCGCAACUAGGCAAAGCUAGUAUGUCACAUUGCGAUGGGGAACCCCCUCACAUUGUGACAUCAAUCCUGUAAUUUGAAACUUUUACAAUUCAGUCCUAAUUUGAUCUCUGGUUAACAUUAAAACUUUCGUAAGCUCAUGUAAGACCUGGGUAUGAUUAUAUGACAUAUUAUAUAUGUAUAUUGCUUGCAUUUUUAUGUUAUUUGGUAUUAAUAAGUUUAAUUCGAUCGUAGUUGCUUUGGCAACGAAUGUGACACCUUAUAGUUCGAACCUGAUGAUCUGGUCGAGUAUGGGGUGUUACAAUUUAAUUAAAAAAAUUAAUUAAUUAAAAUUAAUUUAAUAAAUAAUGUUUCUUUUAGGAAAUAGAAAAACAUGUACUAGGGCGGAUUGAAUUAUAAAGUGUUGGGUUAAAAGUUCAGGAAGCACAUAUAAUUGGACCCAAUACAGAAGAAGCCCUAAUCUGCAUUAUAAUACAUAUGGGAGAAAGCAUAUCCUACUAGCCCUCUCUCUCCUAGUUCAACUAGGGGAUUGUUUUUUUUCUAUUAAAUAGACAUUAAAUGUAUUUUACUAAUUCAACUAGGGUUUCAUUUCCUCUGCUUAUAAACAGAUAACACCGAUAGGGCUAAAAAUACAAUAAGUUACACACAACUUUUGGGAUAUUGUUAUUUUGUUUGAAAAUAGUGAGAAAUUAUUUCUAAGUAUAAAUUUUAUUUUCUGAGAGAAUAACAUUUCUAUUGGUUUCUAUUAGAGAUAGUUUUACUUUUCCACCGAAAGUAAAGUCAAUAAUUUUUGGUUUUGUGUUUGAUUCGAAUUUGUCUGAGCCUACACUUGAAGCAGUCCAUGGUAUGAGAAUAGCGAAGAAGGUUGUAACGCCCCAAAAUUCUUAUUUUUGUUUCUGCUAAAAUGUGACACACAACUGUGUAUCUGCUUCAGUGGUUAAGUGUUAUGGGUAUGUGUGAGAGGUCCCAAGUUCAAGCCUUUCGGUUGGAAAAUUUUGAUAUUUUUUUUGAAUAAAGCCUUAACCUUAUUUAAUAGGCUUAUAUUUAAUUGUGGGUAGAACCAUAUCAAAAUGGGCCCAUUGGCCUGUUGGUUAAGGUGUGUGAUGAAGUGUUGGAGGUUCUGUGUUCGAAUCGCUAUGCAAGCAUGGAUGUUAUUUUUUUUACUCGUUUAACCGAGAGAAUUUUGGUCAAACUAAAAGUCUGAGUGGUGGAGGGAGUGGGGAGAUGGGUGAAGAGAAGUAAGGGGGAAAGAUUUAGGAAGUUAUCAGUUUUAAUUUGAAUCUUUUUCAAAAAUUUCGAUUUCUGCAAAAAAUUCUCUCUGCUCUUCUGCAGAAUAUCCAUUGGUUUCUUUCUCUUUUUUUUUGUUUUCCUUCGUGCCUCCAUCGUGUUCGGUGAUUGAACUUGCUCGUUCGAUAAGUUUUCGCUUUGCCACUUUCUCUCGUUUCGUAGAUGGUUCUUUGAAAAAAAAGAUUAUUUCGAUUCUUUCGAAAUAGGUGAAAAUCAAGUAGCAGUUGGUGCUUCUGCAGAGUUUUGAAUGUUGGGUUUUUGGUUCGUUGACGAUAAGUGACGAGUUCACUUUACCAAUGUUCUAAGGGUUCCGUUGAGAAAUAUUCCCUGUUUAGUUUUCGAUUGUACUGCUGAAAAUUGGCCUUGGUAAUGUCUAUUAUAGGUUCUGGAGAUUCGUGACCGCCUAUAGGUGUGUACUCGAUUGCACAGAAAACAAGGUUUCAAUGAAAGCUAAAAACCUUACUAUCGACGCCACACGGGCGUGUGGUCGCCCGUGUGGUAGGCCGUGUGCCCUGACACGGGCGUGUGAUCGACGAGGCCAGGUCGUACGCUGAGGACAAGGCUGCGUGAUGGCUAGGCAGGCCGUGUGCGACACACGGGCUGGACUAAUUUGGGCCGUAUGGACCACACGGGAGUGUGGGCCUAGACGGGUAAACCAGACAAGCGUGUAGGAUUCUAGGCCAGGCCGUGUGAUCUAUACGACCAAGGCCAAUUUGGACCGUGUGGACCACACGGGUGUGUGGGCCCAUACGAGCAAGCUACAUGGGCGUGUGAGCUUAUUUUUUUAAAAAGUUCUGUAAGGUUGCACAGGUCACCCAUGUCGAUUGUGGACCUACUGUAGAGUUGGUAAGCAUUACGUAGACCCCUAAUUAUGUGAUCUGAUUGUGUGAUGUUUGACUGAGCUUGAAUACCGAAUUGAUUGUAUGAUUUGAUAAAAUUGCAUAACUGCAUGACAUUCUUUUACAUACUGCAUUACAUUGGGGUGGGUUGAUGAUUUGUGGAGGAAGUGUCUGAAAGGCUCUUAAACCUGCUAUCUGGCAACGCAGCUGCAAAUUUCUGAUUAUGUGCAGCGUUUUGGUACAACAUGGUGUGUAGGGAUUGGUGGGUUGAUUUAAUCCCCACAUGUUAUGCAGGGUUGGAUGGAGAUGGUAUGUAGAGGUUGGUGGGUAGGAUUCUGAUAUUUUGUUCUAUAUAUUAUAUUUGAGAUUGGGCCAAGGCCCAAACUUAUAUCUGAGAGCGUUUCUGUAUAUAUUCUGAUGUGUAUCUAUAUACAUGUUUCCAAGGGGAUUACACACUGAGUUUAUGAAAACUCACCCUUUAGAUUUAAUCUGUACAAGUAAUCCCUAGACUUAAUGGGUCGGUGCAGCAGAGGACUCGAUGGUGGCCACAAAUAUUUAGACUGCUUUAAACUCUAUGUUGGUAUUUAUUUCUUAUUUAAUUUCUGGGUUAUUUUUGAUGUAAUUUGGGACAUUAUGGACUGAUUGACUUUAUUUUCAAUUUUUAAACUAUUUGCGAAUUUUUAGACUAAAAUCGAUUUUUAAUCAAAAUAACGAUUUCCUUAAAUACAAACGGUUUUAUAAAGAUGAAAGUCAUCAAAGCUUCUGCUAAAAAUAUACGACUUUUGCCAUAACAUUAGAAUAUGAAUUUUACUCUAAAUUAAGAUAAAAACGAAUUAACUGGAAUAGUUUUCACUUAACAAACUCGUUUUUGAAUUUUAUUCCAUGUGACAUUACUGGAUUCGGCCAUAACAUCUAGGCCGAAUUUGGGGUGUUACAUUUAGUGGUAUCAGAGCCAGGUUAAAAACUCAGCUGUGAAUUUUGGGUUCUAAAAUUAUUUUUCUUUUAAAGAAUUAUUUCUAAAUGUUUUCAAAUAUUCUGGUUAAGUGUGUAGUUCACAGAGUCUCUGGCGCCGAUCCUAUAAGUUUUCUGAAAUUUGUACUGUUUAUUUCGUAAUACUGUAGAUAGUAUAUUCUGAAACUACUAUAUGUAGUAUUGAUAACUGUAGUGAGACUACAACUUACGAAAACAAACUCUGAACUUCUGAUACUGUUUUGCAUAAAAUAUCUGUUAAUAAAUACUGAAACUGUAACUGAUCCAUAAAAUUUGUAAUACAGAUAAAUUGAAUUAGACAAUGAGCACACGAGGUAUCCACGGAUGUAGUACUAGAGGCCGAGGUAGAGGCCGUAGAGGAGCUCAAGCUGAGUCCUCUUCCAUGGAUAAUAUACCGAAUUUAGACACGAGUGAGACGUCAUUGUCUCCUGCUAUUGAGAGUGGGUCUCAUGAUCGCAUAGCUGGGGAUGACGCAUUGUCCUAGGCUAUGCUUAGGAUUUUAGAGAGGGUCGUUGGGCCCAAUGCUGGAUCUGGAGGCUGAGGGUCGGUUACAGAAUGACUUCGGUCCAAUAGGGCUAAGUUAUUUAGGAGUGUUACUAGUGUUGCCCCCAACGUGGCCGAGUAUUGGAUGGAGGCCACUGAAAGAAUCAUGGAUGAUUUGGAUUUUACCCCUAAACAGAAACUGAAAAAGGGUUGUUUCCUUGCUUCGUGAUAAAACAUAUCAAUGGUGGCUGACCGUUAAGGAGGACACUCAACUUGAGCGUCUAUCAUGGGAUUUCUACAAGAUAGCCUUUCAGGGUAAAUAUGUGGGGGCAAGCUACAUCGAUGCUAUGAGAUGUGAGUUCUUAAAUCUCACCCAGGGUGAUCAAUCAGUGGCUGAGUAUGAGGCCGAAUUUCUAAGACAGAGCCGUUAUGCGGGAGGCAUGGUGUUGUUUGAGUAUGAGAUGUGUGUCUGUUUUGAGGACGGCCUUAGAGAUAGCCUGAGGGUACUGAUAGGUCUGUAGAGGGAGCGUGAGUUUGCUGUUCUGAUUGAGAAGGCUAAGAUUGCUGAGGAUGUUAAGCACAUGGAGCGUCAUAAUAGGGAUCGUGAGAGGGGUAAAAACAAGAGGGAUUCAGAGCCCUCGGGUUCUGUGAUGAGGCCUAAGAAAAAGGCCAGAUUUGAUGGGCUGGUUAGAGUUGGGCCCCUUAUUGCCCCUGUUGCUUCUGUUGCUCCUACUGGGAUCUUGCCUUGUGGGCUUUAUGGUAGACGCCAUCUAGGCGAAUGUUGGAGGUCGACUGGAACAUGUUUGAUAUGUGGGUCUACGGAGCACGGUGUUCGAGAGUGCCUGCUGAGGGCCGAUCAGAUACAAGCUUCAGGUUCUAUUAUUGCAUAAUCGUUAAGGGUAGUUUAACAGCAGCUAGGGGUCAUGGUUAGGCUAGGGUUGGUAACGGCAUGGGCCGUGGAUAGAGAGCACCGGGCAGAGGUGCUGGGCACACUAAGACGAGACAGCUUGCUUUAGUUUAUGCUACACGUCGCUGAGAGGACAAAGAUACUCCAGACCUCAUCACUGGUACGUUCGUUAUUUUUGAUGUAACAUACAUUGCAUUGAUAGAUAUAGAAUCCACUCAUUCCUAUAUUUCCUGCUCUGAUUCUGAGAAUCUGGGGUUAUUGGUUGAAAGUACCUCCAGUGAGGUCACGGUUCUAAGCCCGCUAGGGCAAAUGGUUAGAGAUAUCAAAUUAUACAGAGAUGUUCCUUUAAAGGUUUAAGGGACGGUAUUUCUGGCUGAGUUGAUGAAGCUUCCGUUUUGGGAGUUCGACUUGAUUCUGGGGAUGGAUUGGUUGGUUAAGCAUCGAGUAAGUCUGGAUUGUACGACUAAGAGGGUUGUUUUGAGAACUAAGGGGGAAGUUGAGGUAGUGGUGAUUGGGGAAUGUCUGGAUUUUCUGACUAAUGUGAUUUCUACGCUUGUGGCGAAAAAGUUGGUUCAGAAAGGAUGUGAGACAUAUCUAGUGUAUGUGAGUGUUUCCGGUUCUGGGGAUUCUUCAGUGAAGGGCCUCACAAUUGUGAGGGAUUUUUCAGGUGUCUUCCCUGUUGAGCUACCGGGUUUACCUCCAUGCCGUGAAAUGGAUUUUAGGAUUGAAAUUAUUCUAGGUACAGCUUCGGUGUCUAUCGCCCCUAUCGAAUGACACCGAAAGAGCUCAUCGUGCUUAAGGCUCAGAUUCAAGAGUUGUUAGAUCGUGGGUUCAUUCAUCCCAGUGUGUCUCCAUGGGGAGAACCUAUUUUAUUUGUGAAAAAGAAAGAUAGGACAAUGAGGAUGUGUAUCGACUAUCGACAGCUAAACAAGCUAACAAUCAAGAAUAAGUACCCACUUUCAAGGAUUGAUGAUUUAUUCGACCAGUUCAGAGGGACUUUGUAAUUUUCCAAGAUAGAUCUAUAGUUGGGUUAUCAUCAAUUGAGGGUUAGGGAGGCGAAUGUGUACAAGACGACAUUUAGGACUCAAUAUGGACAGUAAGAGUUUCUAGUGAUGCCCUUUAGUUUGACUAAUGGACCAACAACAUUUAUGGACUUGAUGAACCGAGUGUUCCAACCCUAUCUGGAUCAGUUUGUGGUAGUGUUCAUCGAUGAUAUCUUGGUGUAUUCUAAGUCUAAAAAUGAACACGAUGAGUAUCUGAGAGUGGUACUAGAGAUUCUUCGUGAGAAACAGUUGUAUGCGAAGUUCAGCAAGUGUGAGUUCUGGCUCCAAGAAGUAACAUUUUUAGGACACGUAGUUUCUACUGAGGGGAUAAAGUUAAUUCUUGUAAGAUUGAGGCAGUGUUGGAUUGGAAACGACCGAAGAAUGUGUUUGAGAUCCGCAGCUUUCUGGGGUUGGUGGGUUAUUAUCGGCAUUUUGUAGAAGGAUUCUCCUUAAUCGCAGCCCCGUUAAUGAAACUUGUGUGUAAAGGAGUUUCUUUUGUGUGGACUGAUUCGCAGCAAGAAAGCUUUGAGAAGCUUAAGACUGUAUUGACUGAGGCCCCUAUUUUGAUACAGCCGGAGUCUGAAAAAGAGUUUACCAUUUAUAGUGAUAUGUCAUACGUUGGUUUGGGUUGUGUGUUGAUGUAGGAUGGUAAGGUGGUUGCAUACGCGUCUCGCUAGCUUAAGACUCAUGAGGCAAAUUACCCAAUGCAUGACCUAGAGUUGGCCGUAGUGGUGUUAGCAUUGAAAAUCUGGAGGUAUUACCUUUAUGGUGAAAGGUGUAUCAUCUUUACAGAUCACAAGAGCCUCAAGUAUCUCCUCACUUAGAAGGAGCUAAAUCUUAGGCAGCGUAGAUGGAUUGAACUGCUUAAGAACUAUGACUGUACGAUUAAAUAUCACCCUGGUAAGGUUAAUGUGGUGGCCGAUGCACUGAGCUGUAAGGUUAUGACUAAUUUGAGGGCAAAGGUUAUGACCAAUUUGAGGGCAAUGCUUGCUCAUCUCAGUUUAUUUAAUGAUGGUAGCCUGUUGGCCGAGCUUCAGAUUAAGUCGACAUGGAUUGAACAGAUUUGAGGUAAACAGUUGGGAGAUAAGCCUUUUAAGUUAUAGUUUCAUCAGGUUGAGAAUGGUGGCACCACUAAGUUUGGGGUAAAUAAUGAUGGAGUACUUUGUUGCUGUGGUCGAAUUUGUGUACCUAAUGAUGAACAUUUACGAUAGUCGAUUCUGAGGGAGGCGCAUAAUAGCCCCUAUGCCAUGCAGCCCAGUAGAAAUAAGAUGUACUGAGAUCUUCGAGAGUUGUACUGGUGGCCAGAGUUGAAGUGUGAGGAUACUGACUUCGUUGCUAGCUGUUUGACUUAUUAGCAGGUUAAGGCUGAGCAUCAGUUGCCUUCGGGUUUGCUACAGCCUAUUAAGAUUCUCCUUUAGAAGUGGGAACGUGUGACGAUGGACUUCGUUAGUGGGCUACCCUUGACACCCACUAAGAAGGAUUCUGUUUGGGUCAUUGUGGAUCGAUUGACCAAGUCAGCGCACUUUAUACUGGUUCGCACUGAUUAUUAUCUGAAGAACCUGGUGAAGUUGUAUAUUUCUGAGAUAGUGAAAUUGCAUAGGGUAUCGGUAUCUAUUAUCUCUGAUAGGGAUCCUUGCUUCACGUAUCAAUUUUGGGGAAAGUUGCAUGAGGCUUUAGGUUUGUAUUUAGACUUCAGCAUUGCUUUCCAUCCUCAGUCAGAUGGUUAGUCGGAAAGGGUGAUUUAGUUUAUAGAGGACAUGUUGAGGAGCUAUAUUAUUGAUUUUCGAGGCAGUUCGAAGGACUACUUGCCGUUAGCAGAGUUUGCCUAUAAUAACAGCUUCUAGCCUAGCAUUCAGAUGGCACAGUACGAGGCACUGUAUGGUCAUAAGUGUUCCAGUCCUUUAUGUUAGACUGAGUUAGGUGAGCGACGUGUUCUAGAGCUGGAGUUGGUUUCCGAGACUGAGGAUAAGGUUUGACUGAUUUGGGAUUGUCUAAAAGUGACUUCUGACAGACAGAAUUCUUAUGCUGAUUUGAAGAGACGCGAGAUUAGGUACUCUAUGGGGGAUUCUGUUUUUGAAGGUCUCGCAAUGGAAGAAGGUUCUGAGGUUCGGUCGCAAGGGCAAGUUGAGCCUUAUGUUUAUUGGGCUGUAUUAGAUUCUGAAACGAGUGGGAUAGGUCACUUAUUAGUUGGAGCUACCUCCAGAGUUAGACCGUAUCCAUGAUGUAUUCCACGUCUUAAUGUUGAGGCGCUACUGGUCUGAUCCCACGCAUAUUGUUCCUGUUGAGGAAAUUGAGAUUCGUCCAGAUCUGACCUUCGAGGAGGAGCCGAUUCAGAUUCUGGAUCGCGAUGUUAAGGUUCUGAGGAGGAAAUCCAUCCCUUUAGUAAAGGUGCUGUGGUGGAAUCAUAGCACUGAGAAUGCCACAUGGGAGCCUAAGAAUGCGAUGCGUCAGCAAUAUCCUCGUCUGUUUUGAUCAGGUAAUUUUGAGGCCGAAUUUUCUUUUAGGGGGUAGAGUUGUAACACCCCAAAAUUCUUAUUUUUGUUUCUGUUAAAAUGUGACACAGAACUGUGUAUCUGCUUUAGUGGUUAAGUAUUCUGGGUGUGUGUGUGAGGUCCCAAGUUCAAGCUUUUCAGUUGGCAAAUUUUGGUAUUUUUUUUGAAUAAAGCCUUAACCUUAUUCAAUAGUCUUAUAUUUAAUUGUGGGUAGAACCAUAUCAGAAUGGGCUGUUGGUCUGUUGGUUAAGGUGUGUGAUGAAAUGUUGGAGGUUUUGUGUUCGAAUUGCUAUGCAAGCGUGGUUGUUAUUUUUUUUGCUCGUUUAACCGAGAGAAUUUCGGUCAAAUUAAGAGUCUGAGUGGUGGAGGGAGUAGGGAGAUAGGUGGAGAGAAUUAAGGGGGAAAGGUUUGGGAACUUAUCAGUUUUAAUUUGAAUCUUUUUCAAAAAUUUUGGUUUCAACAAAAAUAUUCUCUCUGCUCUUCUGUCGAAUUUCUAUUAGUUUAUUUUUCUCUUCUUUUGUUUUCCUUCGUACCUCCAUUGUGUUUCUCUCAUUUCAUAGUUGGUUCUCUGAAAAAAAGAUUGUUUUGGUUCUUUUGAAUUAGGUGAAAAUCAAGUAGCGGUUGGUGCUUCUGCAGAGUUUUGAACGUUGGGUUUUUGGUUCGCUGACGAUAAGUGACGAGUUCACUUUUCCAAUGUUCUAAGGGUUCCGUUGAGAAACAUUCCUGAUUUAGUUUUCAAUUGUACCACUAAAAAUCAGCCUUGGUAAUGUCUAUUAUAGGUACUGGAGAUUCGUGACUGCGUAUAGGAGCGAAAUCGUAACAGGUGUAUGCUCGAUUGUACAAAAAACAAGGUUUUGGUGAAAGCAGAAAACCUCACUGUCGAUGCCACACGGGCAUGUGGUCGCCCAUGUGGUAGGCCGUAUGCCUUGACACGGGUGUGUGAUCGACGAGGCCAAGCCCUGCGCUGAGGACACGGCUGUGUGAUGGCUAGGCAGGCUAUGUGUGACACACGGGCUGGACUGAUUUUGGCCGUGUGGGCCUACAUGGGUAAACCAUACCGGCGUGUGAGAUUCUGAGCCAGGCCGUGUGAUCUACACGGCCAAGGCCAAUUUGGGCCUUGUGGGUCGAAUGGGUGUGUGGGCCCAUAUGAGUAGCCACAUGGGCGUGUGAGCUCAUUUUUUUGAAAAGUUUUGUAAGGUUGCAUGGGUCACUCAAGACGAAUGUGGACCUACAGUAGGGUCGGUAAACAUUACGUAGACCCCUAAUUGUGUGAUGUUUGACUGAACUUGAAUACCGAACUGAUUGUAUGAUAUGAUAAAAUUGCAUAACUGCAUGACAUUCUUUUGUAUGUUGCAUUGCAUCGGGGUGGGUUGAUGAUUUGUGGAGGAAGUCUCUGAAAGGCUCUUAAACGUGUUAUCUAGCAGCGUAGUUGCAAAUUUCUUAUUAUGUGUGGCAUUUAGGUACAGCAUGGUUUAUAGGGAUGGGUGGGUUGAUUUAAUCCCCACAUGGUGUGUAGGGUUGGACUGAGAUGGUGUGUAGAGGCUGGUGGGUAGGAUUCUGAUAUUCUGUUUUGUAUAUUGUAUCUGAGAUGGGCUAAGGCCCUAAUAAUUAUCUAAAACUGUGUCUGAUUGGGCCAAUGCCCAAACUUAUAUCUGAGAUUGUUUCUGUAUAUAUUCUGAUGUGUAUCUGUAUACAUGUUUCCGAGAGGAUUACACACUGAGUUUGCGAAAACUCACCCUUUCUGUUUAAUCUGUAUAGGUAAUCCUUAGGCUUGAAGGGUUGGUGUAGCGGAGGACUCGGUGGUGGCCACACAUAUUUAGACUGCUUUAAACUCUGUGUUGGUAUUUAUUUCUUAUUUAAUUUCUGGGUUAUUUUUGAUGUAAUUUGGGACAUUAUGGAC
rnacentral:lncRNA from 1 species